UCCUCCAAACCCUAGGCGUCCCUCUCACUCGCUCACUCUCCCCUCUCGCCUCUCCUACCUGCUCUGCGGGCGAUUUCCCUCCCCAAGUCCCAACCCAUGCUAUGGCCGUCACUCUCCUCUCUCUCGUCUCCCGUUUGCGAGUUGUGACUUGGACUCUUCAUGUGCGAUUGUGCGUGACCAAUACCAGUGCCAUGCAACGAGUAGAUGAUGGGGACGACGACAUCAACUCUGCGAGUACGUGACUACGUGUUGCUCGACUGUGCAUUCGUGUUUGACUCUUGCUCGACUCUGCGCGUGCUGUUCGCUCGUCUCUGUCUCUAUUUGCUUGACUCUUGCUCGUCUCUACAUGUUCAGUUCCUGUUUGACUCCUUUUCAGUCCGCGUCUGCCCAGGUUUUUUAAUUUGUUUUCCUUCGUUCUUUAUGUUACCUUAUGGUACUAUACAUUUUGUUCUAAUAAGACACGUUUUGUUUGUUAAAGCAACAUGGAAGAUGUUUGAAUGUAGUGAUGUCUCUGGGUUCAUGGCUUCAGAAGCAGAAGAGACUGCAAAGUUAUCUGUCUAUUGGCUUUAUGGGAAUUCUUUCGUCUUUAAAUUUGAGGAUCCUAAGGGCCAUGUAUUAGAUUAAACUGUGAUGAGUAAUCAUUUUGGUGAAAAGAAGCGUAGCUAGAAUUUGGGGAUAUUAUUUAGCUCUCUCUUGACAUGAAGAAGGCAUCAAGUUAGGAGAUACUCAAAAAAUGAAACUAUAUAGCUAUGUGACUGAGUCAAAAUGGGAAUGGUGCUGAAUGAGAAUGAGCAUUAUUGAUACUCUGGUAAAUGUAUUACAUCAAUAUAUAUAGAGAGAGAGAGAGAGGCUAUCUGUACAACUAGAUACUUAAACUAUACAAUAUAUAACAAACUUAGUAAUGAUGUAACUAAAUUGUACAACUAGACAAUAGUCCUUAUUUGAUUAAUUCAUAAUGCAGACUGUUGCAAUUUACUUGAUCCCAGAUAAUAUUAUUUUUUCUCUUGUAUAUUGAGAAAUGAUUGUUUAUUUAUUUAAUAAUGUAACUAAUUUUUAAUGGUGCCAUCUGUUAUAGAACAGAAACAACCUUAUAUUGUUGAAUUUGAUUUCACUUAUAGUGCAUCAAUUUGUCUUAUAGAACAUAAAUAUGUUGAAGGUGAACUCUAAUUUGGAUCGAGUGCGUCAUUAUAUUAAUUAUAAACUAUGUUAAGCUUAUGUUAAGUCAAGUGUACUUCUCUCUUCAUCUAUUAAUCUAUUUUUUUCUUAAUAUAAUUUAUUCUGCAAACUAUAUUUUUAGUAAUAAUAUUUUUUUAAAGAUAUCAAUUCUUGGAGAUAUCAUUCAAGUAAAUAGGGGUGCAAUGCAUUAGUACUAUUAGAUGACACAAGUUGGAAGGCCUGCUUGGAAAGGGAAGCUGAGAAGUAGAGAUUCAAAGGCAACUAGCUUGGCUGCUACAAGUAGUGGAGCCAUCCCAUCUCCUUGUUCUUUACUCAACACUCUCAUCUCCAACUUUAAAUCUCAUGGCCUCUCUGCCAAAGACAUGGUUGCCUUAUCUGGCAUACUCCUACUUCUCCAUUAAUUCCGUUUCUUUCAAAUCAAUUUUUAACUUGUCAUUUUUACUAUAGGUUAUUCACUUGUGUGUGUAUAAUUUUUUUAUGUGUACUGAGGUCUGAUCUCCAUGUUAUUGGUCCUCUUCCAGAUAUUCAAGGAAGGUGACAGAUUCUUGAAUCCCACACGUCCAACGUUUGAUUUUUUUCUCCUAGUGUGCUUGGGUUCGAUGGCUUAUUAUGGCAGUGCAAACCUUUAGAAUGCCCUUUUUUUUUUUAAGUUAUGACUGAGUGUAUCCCUUUGGUACUUGUUUUGAAGGUUGAUGAUGUUGAUACUAACUUGGUGAACAUUGCUGCUAUCAAAGCCACGACGGAUGGUUUUGAGUAUACGAAAGACAAUUUUGAUGGGAAGUGAGCGCAAGUCAGCCAUCAUAACUGAGAAAUUAAAUCAAGAAAGUAGACUGCUUUCCACAAGCACCGGCGAACUUGGCUCAAAGAUGCUCUCUCUGCCUCAGCUCACGCACGAAAGAAGGAAUGAAGAAAUGAAGGAACAGUUGAAGCUUGUGGGUGAAGGGGGAGUGGCAAACAAUGGAAAAGAACAGGAAGGAAACAUGAUGGCAGAGGCGUAAAGCUUGAAGUGAAUGAAGGCAUGGCAUCAAUGAAGGGAGGGAGAGAAGAAGAGGAAAUUAAAGAUCUAAGUGAUAGAUGACUCAUGACUCCCUACUUGCAAAUCAUUGGAGCUAUAAAGGCGAGGGUGGGGGUAAAGAGUUAGAGACAAAGCCAUAGCCAACAAUGAUGGAACAACGCUAAACUUGGAGACAAAGCCACUACCAUGGACAAUCGCAGCGAAGGUGCAACGAAUGAGAGGUUGAGAUAGAUUGGGGAGGGAGGAGGGGUUGUUGGCGAAGUUGAAAGGCCACAAAAGUGAGGAAGAAAUGACUUUGAAGUGGAACCCUAUAAGGUAUAGCCUUACAUCAAAUUUUAUUUUUUAAAAAAUAAAUUAAACUGGAUUGAACUAGAGUGAAUAGUCUAAACAUGCAAUCCGAGAUCUCAUUUGUCUCAACCAAUCAGUUUAGUUUGGUUGGUCUAGUUUUCUCCUUGAAUUGUUUUUCACCUAUAUUGCACUAGAUUGGGUCACUGCAAACUGGAUCAGGUUGACUGAAUUUUGAGUUUAAAUGUUCAACCUUACUUA